rnacentral:rRNA from 1 species
GACAAGAAAUAACAAUACGGGGCUUAAAGUCUUGUAAUUGGAAUGAUGGGAAUUUAAACCUCUUCCAGAGUAUCAAUUGGAGGGCAAGUCUGGUGCCAGCAGCCGCGGUAAUUCCAGCUCCAAUAGCGUAUAUUAAAAUUGUUGCAGUUAAAAAGCUCGUAGUUGAAUUUCUGCUGCAUUGCUUGUGUCCCUCUGGGGUCUGUGCAUGUGGCUUUUUUCGGACGGAGUUUCUUUGUCUGAAUGUUUACUUUGAGAAAAUUAGAGUGCUCAAAGCAGGCUUUCGCCUUGAAUAGUUUAGCAUGGAAUAAUAAAGUAGGACUUUGGUUCUAUUUUGUUGGUUUUAGGUACCAAAGUAAUGGUUAAUAGGAACAGUUGGGGGCAUUCGUAUUUAACUGUCAGAGGUGAAAUUCUUAGAUGACACAGGGAGGUAGUGACAAGGACACUGUCAGAGGUGAAAUUCUUAGAUGACACAGGGAGGUAGUGACAAGGACACUGUCAGAGGUGAAAUUCUUAGAGGUGACACAGGGAGGUGUGACAAGGACACUGUCAGAGGUGAAAUUCUUAGAUGACACAGGGAGGUAGUGACAAGGACACUGUCAGAGGUGAAAUUCUUAG